rnacentral:rRNA from 1 species
AUUGAACGCUGGCGGCAUGCUUUACACAUGCGAGUCGAACGGUAACAGGCCGCAAGGUGCUGACGAGUGGCGAACGGGUGAGUAAUGCAUCGGAACGUGCCCAGUCGUGGGGGAUAACUACUCGAAAGAGUAGCUAAUACCGCAUACGAUCUAUGGAUGAAAGCGGGGGACCGUAAGGCCUCGCGCGAUUGGAGCGGCCGAUGUCAGAUUAGGUAGUUGGUGGGGUAAAGGCUCACCAAGCCAACGAUCUGUAGCUGGUCUGAGAGGACGACCAGCCACACUGGGACUGAGACACGGCCCAGACUCCUACGGGAGGCAGCAGUGGGGAAUUUUGGACAAUGGGCGCAAGCCUGAUCCAGCAAUGCCGCGUGCAGGAAGAGGGCCUUCGGGUUGUAAACUGCUUUUGUACGGAACGAAACGGCUCUGGUUAAUACCCGGGGCUAAUGACGGUACCGUAAGAAUAAGCACCGGCUAACUACGUG